rnacentral:rRNA from 1 species
CCCAUAGAUGUUCUGGGCCGCACGCGCGCUACACUGAUGCAUUCAACGAGCCUAUCCUUGACCGACAGGUCCGGGUAAUCUUUGAAUCUGCAUCGUGACGGGGAUAGAUUAUUGCAAUUAUUAAUCUUCAACGAGGAAUGCCUAGUAGGCGCAAGUCAUCAGCUUGCGUCGAUUACGUCCCUGCCCUUUGUACACACCGCCCGUCGCUCCUACCGAUUGGGUGUGCUGGUGAAAUGUUCGGAUCGGCCGUUUGUCGCGGUUUCCGCGUCAUGUGGCUGAGAAGUUCAUUAAACCCUCCCACCUAGAGGAAGGAGAAGUCGUAACA